GGCAGAAGCCUCAAAUAACCCCACUCGCUGUGCUUGUGGCAUUCUGACUUCAGAGUGACUGUCCGCUCAGAAACAGGUCAUGUGCAGUUUACACUUAGCAUUUUGUCUCUGAAGGCCAGACUGCAUGCCUGGAAUGGAUGAUACUUUUUGCACACUUCUUUCGAUUAAAGAUCACCCAUGGCUGGUUGUGGCACAUUGGCACACUAGUGUGACUCCCCCCCCCCGCCCCAAACCCCGGUUACCCUCUGUUUAGUGGCCCCAGGUAAGCCUGUCUUUAUUUCCUCUGGUUUCCUUGGUGUAAAGUGCCUUGCAGUUUGUCGCUGUGCGACCCGACCGCGGGUGCUGUGGAUCUGGAGACCCACCGGGUCCCACCACAACAGAGAGCCGGCGCUGAAACCCAAUACCCACCGGUCAAAACCAGAGCGUCAGCCGUCCUUUGGAGGCUCUUUGAUCAGCCGUGGUUUGAUUGGCGGUCCCCUGGCUGCGCCGCAAAAUUCCUGUUGUGUGACUUUGCCUGCUUUGUCUCCUCUCAGACGCCAGGCCAACGAGAGUCCCACGGCCCGCGGAGCUCCAGCUCCCAGGCGUGAAAACACAAAGUGGCAUUUGGAACAACUUAGAGCGGUUUGUUUCUCUUUUUUUUCUCUGCCAUUUUUUCUUUUUUUUUUAGAUCUUUGCCUGAGUGAUUCAAAGGGAGAUUUCUUCUAACUGGUGUUUCUUUUAUUAGUUUUUACUGCUACUUGAAUGUGGAACAACACAACAGGCUGAGCUGUGUGACGUGACAUGAUGUAAUGCCUGGCUCUGUCUGAAACUGGCUACGCUAAUAUCCCGGCGUGCAGCUGAGUCUAGACCCGGUCCCAGCCCGGCAGAUCCAGACUAGAUCAAGGCCAGAUGUAGACCAGGUCUAACCCAGAUCAGGACCAGGUCUAAGACAGAUCAGGACCAAAUCCCCGCCAGCUCAGGGCCAGAUGUGUUUCAGUCAGCUCCUGUUUAAGCUGGCACUCUCUGCCUCAACACAAACAGUUCUGGGUAUGAGGGUCUUGUGAUUGCAGCUGCACACAUGUGUGUGUUUGUCAGAUCCUGUGGAAGUCCAGGUUGUUGAACUGUAGACAUAACACCCCUGGGCUUGAGCACACAGCAACUGACCAUAGGAAAGAUGUGGCACAGGU
ensembl:lncRNA